AAGAAAAUGAAGGAGAUUUUGAUUAUUUAGUAAUUUCUGGAAUUUCUAUUCCAAUUGAAUGCUUAGAAUAUAGAAAAAAACUUACCAUGUUUUGUAUAUAUUAAUGGAAGUACGUAGAAAAACCUGUUUCCGGGAGUUGAGCUGAUCGACGGCAAAUAUUUGCCAAGUGAUUUACUUAGUGAAAUCAAACCGGAAGCUUUUAAAAAUAGUAAAAAUAUUCAU
rnacentral:lncRNA from 1 species